CAAACAUUGGGUCAAAAUUCAUAACGUAAGAGUUGGGUCAGAAAUUUACCGCAGGUUUACAGCUUGAACACUUCUAUUGGGUCAGAUGUCGGGUAGAUUUACCCAAUCGGUUGGGUUAAAGACGAAACUUGGAAGAAGCCACGCCCCUCUUCACAAGCCUCCAUUUUCAAUAAGACUGUGAACGUUGCAUAUCGGGCUUCUCCUCUACUUUGAAAUAAGACAUGGAUCUUCAGGAGAAUUAAACGAAACCCAAACUCUUCGUUCUCAACGAAGACCUUCUGUAUGGCGAAGAACGUGAGUCUGCUCCCUCAAGAAGAAGAUGUAGUCCUGCAGCUGCUGCCCGUACUCCUCCCUACUUACUCAUUUGGGAGAAGUUUCAGACCCAUUAACCUGGAGGUUCAGAAGGCUUCAUUGAUAUCCAGCCUAUCUUUUGUACGACCAAGAAGAGGACGGAGCGGCCAUCUUCUGAACAACAUGGAUUUUCUCCCUUAAGGUAUUGAAGCUCAAGAGAUGUUUUCUAAACUGUUUUUAACAUUUAACUUUUUAACACAAGCUUAUGUUUGCCAGACAGACAAGAUGAUGUAGCCUUGCAGCUGCUGCCAGUACUCCUCCCUGCUCCACCUUACGCAUUUGGGAGAAGUUUCAGACCCAUCAACCUGGAAGUUCAGAAGGCUUCAUUGAUAUCCAGCCAUUAAGUCAACCUUCAUCUCUGAAUCAUGCUCAAAUUGUUUACUGUUUAAAUAAGUGCAUCACUAAUGGCCUGUUUUUUCUGUCUUCUCUCUCCAUCAGGUUGGGUCAAACCUGGUGGCGCAUCUACAAAAUGUGACAACAUGGAACCCGUAUGUCCUCAUGCAGGGAGACAGGCAAAAAUGCUAAAGUGUUGUUAAAAAUGCUCCUUGUUUAAUGGCUGAAAGUUUUACUUGUAGUUUUCUUUAAAACAGACUUUUUACAAGAAAUGUUUUCUAAUGUCUAGUAACAGAUAAUUCUGGAGUUGUAGCCAAAUGAGUUAAAGUGAUUUAACUAGAUAUAUAUACUUUUAAAACAACUUAUGUUUUGUAACUUUUGUAAGUGAAAUCUGCUGGCUUUAUAUAUGUAUCACGUGAAAAUAAAAGAAGCUUUAAAUUCGUAUGGUUUUUAAUCCUGUUUUUACAUAGUGAAAUUUAAAAUAAAUCUUUUUUUAAAUUUUAACCCAACUAUAGUGGUACAAUAACCCUUAUGUUGGGUUAUGAGUUUCAACCCAAUUUUGGGUCAAUUUAACCCAACCUUCGGUCAGUUGCCAUGACCCAAUGUGCUGGGUCAAACCCUCAACCCCCAACCCAGUUGAGUUAAAGCAACCCAGCGUUGGGUUGGUCCAUAUAUGACCUAGCGCUGGGUUAUGAAUUGGGUUAUUUUUAAACCAGCAGUUUUUACUGUGUGGGUGAGAGUGGAGGUGGAAGUAUUAUUUGUGCAAUAUGAAGAUGUCAACAAAUUUGUAAAAGGAAUUCCACAUGUAUU